AGCGGUGGAGAACCAGUGUCCUGCGCAUGCGCCCCGCAGGUCGGGUGCGGGAGAAACCUGGCAGCCACUUUGACGCGAGCGGGCGGCCUCGGCCACAGAGCCCUUGACAAGGGCGCCGGACAAGCCCAGGCUAUCCUGCUCAUCGUACCUUCCGUUGCAUUGCCAGGCCUGCCGCUCGGCCCCAAGGCUGGGCCAGUGAAGUGAGUCCUCCCACACGGCCCGACUCAGCGCAGCAGCUCGUCCUAGUGUCCUCCCCGCCCCGCUACCGAAAGUGCAGCUGCCGCCCAAGGAGAGCAACCUCUUCAAACGUAUCCUGGUGGGUGGCAGGCGGGCCGGCCCUCGCGCUUGCCAGGAACUUCCCGGGGCCGUCUGCGGCGCCCCGAUCCUCGCCAGUCCCCCUCGGGCGACGUUCGUCCCUGCUUUGCACCCCAGUACCUGUGGAAGCCCAGCCUUCAGCCGUCAGAAAUGUUAUGAACAGAAGCAAUACAAAAAUGGCCUCAAGUUUUGCAAGAUGAUUCCUUCAAACCCCAAAUUUGCUGAACAUGGAGGUGAUGUUUUAUCUGUUGAGAGACUGCUGUGGGGAAAUCUAACGGCCAUGACUCUUAACAAUGAAAGAAUACUGUACUUCCCUACAUUCCAAGGCUUUGCAGCUCCCUGUUGACUGCAUAAUUGUCUGGGAUAUGUAGUGUGUUUUUACUUUUAGAUGAGAAAUGGUUGAUCUACUGGGGGUAAAAUUGGAUGAGGUAAUAUAUAAGUUACUUGGGAUCAGAAGUGUUACAGAGUUCCAUAGUUUCCCUGAUUUUGGAAUAUUUGUAUAUAAUACCAAUUGAGCACCUCUAAUCCAAAAACCCAGAAAUCAGAUUUGUUUGUUUGUUUUGUUUUUUGAGACAGGGUCUCACUAUGUAGUUGAAACUGACCUGGAACUCACUAUGUAGCCCAGGCUGGUCUCGAACUCACAGCGAUCCUCCUGUCUCAGCCUCCCAAGUGCUCUGUACUAGUAUUUUUAUAGACCCAGUUUCCUUUAUUAUUUUGAGUACUAUUUUAAGUUUAUACCUUGAUUUCCUGUUUAUAAAAUUAGGACAAUAUUUUCACUGCAAAGUAGUCUAAAGAUAAAAAAUCAUAUGUAUUCUAUUCUUCAGUAGAUAUGCUUUUUAUAUUUCUGCUGAUAUUUGUCAGCAAAUAUCAAUAUGGUAUCAAUAAAAAAAUGGUAUGACUGAUCUACUCGUAGGUGAUUUUUUUUUGGUUUUUUUGGUACAAGAUUGAACUCAGGACCUUGUGCUUGUGAGGCAGGUGGCAGCACCACUGAACUAAAUCCCCAGCAGAUUUUGUUUUGAAUUAUUCUUCUAGCACUGGUGUUAAUACAGUCCAUAUUUGUUUCUUUUACCUUGUUUCAUUGGUAGCCAAUGUUUGUCAAAAGGAUUAGGCUAAACAUAAAAAUUAUUGUGCAAAAGCAUUACAAAACUAGUUGAGGUCUGAAUAUCAGUGGUGGUAAACUUGGGCCCAGGAUUUAGCUCAGUGGUGCCACUGCCUGCUUUGCAAGCACAAGGUCCCGAAUUCAGUCCAGAGUAACCACCCUCUGCAAAAGAAAGAAAUGUGAUGAAGCUAUUAAGUGCUACCAAAAUGCUCUCAGGUUGGAUAAAGAAAAUCUUCAAAUUUUGAGGGAUCUCUCUGUUGCAGAUCCAAAUGAGAGACCUUGAAGGUUACUGUGUAAGUACGUCAGUCUUAAAUGAAUUUUGUUUCUUGUUUUUUGGUGGUGUUUUAGUUUUUGUGUUUUUUUUUUCUUUUUUUGAGACAGGGUCUUACUAUGUAAUUGAGACUGACGUGUGUUUUAGUUUUUUGAGACAGAGUCUCACCAUGGAGUCCAGGCUGUUCUUGGACUCACUGUGUAAUGUAGUCAGGCCUUGAACUCCUGGCAAUCCUCUUGCCUUAGCCUUUGGAGCGAUGGGAUUACAGGCCUGCACCACCAUGCCUGGCACGAAUUUUGUUUUUUAGCAGUAGGUUAAAUUUAAAGCCAUGUGAAUCCGCAAUUAUGUGAGCAUCAGCCAGUUUGAUUUAGUAGAAUCUGUAGUAAGAGGAGAAAGUCAUUUAGCACCUUCCAACAUUAUUAAUUCUGUUUUUUUUAAACCGGGAAUUGAACUCAGAGCCUCACACUUGCCAGGCAAAUGUUGUACCGCUGAGCUAUAUUCUCAGCCCCCCAACAGUAUUAAUUCUGGAACAUCAUAGUUAAGUAUUAAAUAGGGAUAAACUGUAUACUUAUGUAAUUAAAAAAAAACCUAGAAUGUCUUCAUGUCUUAUAUGCAGAUGCUGUACUAGAGGCCUGUGGGUUUGGGUUUCAGUAUUUUUGUGUUUUGUUAUUGUUGUUGUUGUUUCAUUGAGAUAGGGUCUCUGUGUAGUUCAGGCUCGCUUUGAACUCACUGUGUAACCUAAGCUAGCCUUCAACUCCUGCUCAGCCUCCCAAGUGCUGGGAUUACAGGUGUAUGCCUGGCUUUGACAUUCGGUUUUUGUAGUUGAAAUAAAAUAUAAAAAUUAGUGUCCCCAGCCAGGUGUGGUGGCACAUGCCUGUAAUCCCCGCACUUGGGAGGCUGAGGCAGGAGGAUCGCUGUGAGUUCGAGAUUGGCCUGGGCUACAUAUGAGUUCCAGUUCAGUCUCAACUACAUAGUGUGACCCUGUCUCAAAAAAAAAGGAGUGUAGGGAUGGGGAUUUGGCUCAGUGGUUCCGCCACUUGCUUUGCAAGCGCAAGGGCCUGAGUUCAAUCCCCAGCACCAAAAAAAAAAAAAAAAAAAAAAAAAAAAAGGAAUGGAAAAUUAUACCUGUGGCAUAUGGUGUGCCUGGACUCACUUGGCAUCCAUUCUAACCAAGUAACAACAGAAUCGUGGAAAUCGAACACUUUUCCAGUUAAUGUUCUUCAUGCGACCCUGUUCUUCCAAGCAAUAUCACUUGCUUAAACCUUGAAAAAAAAAAAAGUGAGCCUUGAGACAUGGGACCUCUGUAAGGAGGCUGGUUUUUCUGUUCAGACAGAUACUGCUUUUUCUAGGCCAUGAUUGAAUUUAUGGUUAUUUGACCCUAAUAUUAAAGAAAUUGAGCUUUCUUACAGCGAAAGUAGAUGUGUUUCUGCUAGAGGAGACAAUUCAGGUCUUUUUUCCUUGACUAUGUUCAUCCUGUCUCUGGGGUCAACAUAAAUAGAUUGUAUUUCAUAUACUUUUUAAAGAAUCUAGUAUAAUAAAAAGCCAUUGCAGUCUUUUUCAGUAAAAAAUGUUUAAAUUUAUAAGAAGAAAUUUUUAUUAUAAGGUAUUUUAUAAGUGAGCCCAUAGGCAUGACCCCCCCAAAAGUAAGAUUUCCUUGAUAGCCUCACAAUAUUGCAAGGUAUUAAUAUAACUAAUAAAAGAAACCCAAGGUUUUUUUGUUGUUGUUGCUGUUUUUGGCACUGGGCAUUGAACUCAGGUCCUUGUGCUUGUAAGGCAGGUGGCAGAACCACUAAGCUAAAUCCCUGGCCUGAAACCUAAGUAAUUUUGAUAAGAAAUGUGAAAAAUAUUUCUAUACUAUUCUGGAACUGGUGUUUAUUGUCUUCACUAAAAAAGUAUUAAACACAUUAGAUUGUUCUCUUAAAACUCAUGAAAUAUAAACACUUUGGAGAAAAUUAAAAUUUAAAAAAAUAAAAACCAAUUUUUUUUUUUUUAAUUAAAGGAGACGAUACCAGCUUUUGUAGUUGCAUCCAACACAGUGUGCUUCCUGUAUUGGAUAUGCCACUGCAUGCCAUUUGCUGAAAAAUUAUGAUAUGGCAAUAAAAUUGCUGGAAGAAGUUAGAUAAACUCAGCAAGUAAGAGCAUUAUUUUAACAUUUCCUACCUUCACAGAAUAAAAUAGUUGAUUUCUAAACUGCCUCCACCCCCAAAUUUGAAUUAAUCUUUGAAACCUAUGAAAAAACUGAAAACUUUAUGAAAUAAUGGAAAAAGUGAAGAUAUGGAAUUCUUACUGCAAAUAAAUAAUAUAAAAAUUUGUAUACUAUAAUUUCAACAGUAUUCAAAUAAGUAGAGAAGGAAAAUAUGUAAAAAUAAAAACGGGCUUGUCGAAUUGUUUAUCUAGUAAGUAUAUAUACUAUAUAUAUACUAGUGUAUGCAUAUAUAUAUAUAUAUAUACACACAUAUAUAUUACUUUAUGUAACUGAAGAUGUGCCCCAGUACUUGAGUCCCUGCUUAGCAUGCACAAGUUGCAAUACUAGAUUUGAUCCCCAGCACUUCCAAAACAAUUAAAUAUGUGUAUAUAACACUUUGUUUUAUAUAAUGCAUUUUAAUGUAUUUGUAUUUAUAUACAAAAUCGAAAAAUGUGACAGCAUAUACUUGUGUAUCAUCAGAGAAAUGAGACGUUAACAUUUUACAUAAUUGCUCUAGAUUUUAUUAUUAAAAACAAUAAAAUGUUGCAGAAAUGGCUAGAGUCCUCCUAUGUGCCUUUCCGAGGUAACCACUAUUCUGAAAUUAGUAGAGAUCACUGAUGGUGAACCUAUGGCAUCUGUGCCACAGCCAGCUGUUUGUUAUGAAAGCUCUAAAAAGUUUGCCUUAAAAAUAAAAAAAAUAAAAAGUUUGCCUCCAC
ensembl:lincRNA